UAGGGAAUCUUCCACAAUGGACGCAAGUCUGAUGGAGCAACGCCGCGUGAGUGAAGAAGGGUUUCGGCUCGUAAAGCUCUGUUGUUAAAGAAGAACGUGGGUAAGAGUAACUGUUUACCCAGUGACGGUAUUUAACCAGAAAGCCAGGCUAACUACGUGCCAA
rnacentral:rRNA from 1 species